UACGUAGGUGGCAAGCGUUACUCGGAAUCACUAGGCGUAAAGCGCAGGUAGGCGGUUGGAUAAGUUUCUUGUGAAAGCUCCCGGCUUAACUGGGAGAGGCCAAGGAAUACUGUCUGACUUGAGUGUGGUAGGGGUAACUGGAAUUCCCGGUGUAGCGGUGAAAUGCGUAGAUAUCUGGAGGAACACCGGUGGCGAAGGCGGCAUCCUGGACCGGCAUUGACGCUGAGGAGCGAAAGCCAGGGGAGCAAACGGG
rnacentral:rRNA from 1 species